rnacentral:rRNA from 1 species
GACGAACGCUGGCGGCGUGCUUAACACAUGCAAGUCGUACGGUAAGGCCCUUUCGGGGGUACACGAGUGGCGAACGGGUGAGUAACACGUGAGUAACCUGCCCACAACUUUGGGAUAACGCUAGGAAACUGGUGCUAAUACUGGAUAUGUGCUCCUGCUGCAUGGUGGGGGUUGGAAAGCUCCGGCGGUUGUGGAUGGACUCGCGGCCUAUCAGCUUGUUGGUGGGGUAGUGGCCUACCAAGGCGGCGACGGGUAGCCGGCCUGAGAGGGUGACCGGCCACAGUGGGACUGAGAUACGGCCCAGACUCCGACGGGAGGCAGCAGUGGGGAAUAUUGCACAAGGGGCGCAAGCCGGAUGCAGCAACGCCGCGGGCGGGAUGACGGCCUUCGGGUUGUAAACCGCUUUCAGCAGGGACGAAGCUUUUUGUGACGGUACCUGCAGAAGAAGCACCGGCUAACUACGUG